GACGAACGCUGGCGGCGUGCUUAACACAUGCAAGUCGAACGAUGAAGCCGGAGCUUGCUCUGGUGAAUUAGUGGCGAACGGGUGAGUAACACGUGAGUAACCUGCCCUUGACUCUGGGAUAACUGCGGGAAACUGUAGCUAAUACCGGAUACGACCCUCGGAGGCAUCUCCUGGGGGUGGAAAGAAUUUCGGUCAAGGAUGGACUCGCGGCCUAUCAGCUAGUUGGUGAGGUAAAGGCUCACCAAGGCGACGCCGGGUAGCCGGCCUGAGAGGGUGACCGGCCACACUGGGACUGAGACACGGCCCAGACUCCUACGGGAGGCAGCAGUGGGGAAUAUUGCGCAAUGGGCGAAAGCCUGACGCAGCAACGCCGCGUGCGGGAUGACGGCCUUCGGGUUGUAAACCGCUUUCAGCAGGGAAGAAGCCGCAAGAUGACGGUACCUGCAGAAGAAGCACCGGCUAACUACGUGCCAGCAGCCGCCGUAA
rnacentral:rRNA from 1 species